AGCUGGGCCCUGCAUAGGGAGCCCAGAGCACAUGCACACACAGAACACACAACAGACACACAAAACGCUGCUGAUGUGGGGCUGUAGGCCCAGGGCAUAUAUGAAAGGUGGGGGAGAAGGGGACACAGCCUCAGUUUCUGCCUCUGCUGGGGCCUGGGGGACUUUGAGAACAGGGAAGAGAGGUGGGGGGCGGGGGGGGGGGUGGCUCACCAUCCAGACGAUUGCAAAGCAGCCCUUAGGCCUGGCCGGGCUGCUGUCUGGGAGACCUGAGUCUUGAGGCCUGCUGGGUACAGAAGCCGCAACCACCCUGGCCCCUUGCCUUGCUUGGGGCACAGACUGGAAGCAGACCCUCUGAGCUUUGUGCCCCCCGUUGGCAGGAGUGGGCAAGGAUGUGCAUAUCUGCCGGGCAAGUUGAGAUGCACCUUUGGUACUAGAGUGUUGUGAGCUCUGGGGUCUUCGUGCCUUGCAGGAUGCGGUGCACAAACUGAGUUUCGUUGCUUUUGUGUGUGCCAGGCUGCCGGUGUAGGUGCGGGAAUGUAUACUAGGCUGCAUGUGCAUAGGAGUGUGUGCGUGAAUAUCCUAUCGCCUUCAUAGAUUUGAGCGGCCCUUGGCUUGUUCUGAGGGCAUGCUGUGGUUAGGGAGUCUGGGUUGAAUGGAUAAGAUGGUAAUGAAUGGACAUGGGUGUUCAACCAGGUGUUGGCUGCCAAGGCCAGGGGGUGGUUUUCUGCCCUGCCAUGGUCUUCCCAUCUCCCCCCACAGCUCGGUGGAGGAGUCUGCUGCUGGGCUCUCCCUCCUACUAGCUUUCCACCCCUCUUUGGGAGACUCCCUUCUUGGCCACCUCCCCCACAAACUAGCCCCUCGUCUGGGAGGGGUUCUCCAGUUAAAGCAGCAGGACAGCACCCCUCCUUUUGGGUCUAACCCGAGGAAGGGUGGGGCUCCUGCCCCCCGCAGCUCCUUUUUCCUUUGGGUGGAGAAGUGGGACUGGGAAGGAAAGGGGAAUGGGGGAGGGCCAGAGCUCUGCCUUUUCAAAUGCAACCGGAGACCAAAGGCAAUUAGAUCAUUGGGACCAUUUCCGACCUGGCGCCACCGAGCCCGGGAAGUGACAAGUACCGCUGGUGACGCCACUCGGCGAGCGCAAGUGGAUAAAUAGAAACGUCUGCCACAGCGAAGAUGAAAGGAGCCCCGCAGCUAAUGGCUCGGCAGUGAUGCGCCAGGUGUGGGCCUGGCUCGAAUGGGGAGGAGAGUGUGAAAACAGAGAGAUACACACACUGAGAGAGGGAGACACCCAAGCAGAGGGGAUGCAAAUGGCAUUCUGCAGAAAGAAAAAGAAAGCUUAAGGCGCGCCGCGAGUUCCGCAGGAGCUGCGGGACUCGGUGGCCUUAAGCUUUCCACAGCUCGGCUUGACCUCCAGGUAUUCGUUCAGAGUCAACGAAUUCCUCUGCAAACAGGUUUUGCGAGUGAGGAGACACUAAGAAGUGCGGCCCCUGCAGCGGCAGCAACGGAGGCUCCCAGCUGGGAGAAGAUGAAAGCCGUGUAGGAUUGAAAGAUCAAGAGGUACCCCUUGCGUCUCCUUCCUGGGUCCGGCCCACCCAAGCGGGGCUUCCCCCGCCGUCCCAGGGAGGAAGGAGGCUCCAGCCAGGGCUCAGCCUCUCCCGGAUGGGGGGCAUGCCUCCUCAGGGUUUCGGAUCUGAAGCUUCUGGAACGCCCCCUCUGCCCCAUCCCUCUCUGGACUUCUGCCUCCGCCCUUUCAAAGGAUCAAUUCCCCACCUCACCCCACCCCCUCCGUCCCCGGUCUCAAGGGGCCUAUUGCGCCGUCGGGCGCGGGGGGGGGGGGGGGGGGGGAGCAAAAA